GGGCAAGUUUUUUUUACCCUAUUUGCCUCAGUUUCCUCAUCUGUUAAAUGGACUGCAGAAGGACAUGGCAAACCACUCUAGUAUCUUUGCCAAGAAGAGCCCAAAUGGGAUCAUGAAGAGUAGGAUAUGGGAAACAAGUCUGUCCGCACUGGGCUUCCCCCUCCUCGUCAUACCUAACCUUCCAAAAUGGAGACACCAACUCCGGAGAAGAGAGGAGAAGCUGCAGCAGGAGGACUUGCCUCGGCCCUCUGAUAGAGAAAAAGCCUUGCUCAAAGCUGCCUUUUCUGGAUCCCGGCCCUGCGUUCUUGCGGAGAGGUGGAGGGAUGGUGAGGAGAGAGAAAAGAGGUCAGGAAGAACCUUUUCAAUGUGGCGAAGUUCUGCGUUAAGAAGUU
rnacentral:lncRNA from 1 species